AAAGCUUUGUCUAUAGAACAUAGAAUUUUCUUGUCAGCAAGAAAUAGCUUUGAUAAAAUGUGUAUUUACUAAAAGCCUUGAAACCUAACCUUGAGAAACUAACCGUGCCAGCUACACUCUAAAUGGAUAGCUGCCAAAAGGCCCCUCCCGUCGAGUGAGCUCCUCAUGUUAGCAAAAUGGCGCUAAAACCUGGAGGAGAUAAUCAUGACGUGGAUAGUGACUUAAGAUGGUACACCCCAUAGGGAGGGCAUUUUACUAACAUCUUAGCACCUAAGCCAAUUAACAA